rnacentral:rRNA from 1 species
AAGCCUGAUCCAGCCAUGCCGCGUGAGUGAUGAAGGCCCUAGGGUUGUAAAGCUCUUUUGUGCGGGAAGAUAAUGACGGUACCGCAAGAAUAAGCCCCGGCUAACUUCGUGCCAGCAGCCGCGGUAAUACGAAGGGGGCUAGCGUUGCUCGGAAUCACUGGGCGUAAAGGGUGCGUAGGCGGGUCUUUAAGUCAGGGGUGAAAUCCUGGAGCUCAACUCCAGAACUGCCUUUGAUACUGAGGAUCUUGAGUUCGGGAGAGGUGAGUGGAACUGCGAGUGUAGAGGUGAAAUUCGUAGAUAUUCGCAAGAACACCAGUGGCGAAGGCGGCUCACUGGCCCGGUACUGACGCUGAGGUGCGAAAGCGUGGGGAGCAAACAGGAUUAGAUACCC